CUAUAUGUGGAUGUUAAAAUAUAAAAUGCACCCACCUUCUGUUUGUCGCAAGUCUAUAUAUGGCUCAGACCUUGAAGUGGUAAGGAUGUGUGUUUGACUGACUAUUCUGUUUCUAGAUAUCAAUAGUAUGUUGCAAAUUGAUAAGUAUACUGUAGAUAGUUAUAAAACCAAAUUAUCACCAAGUAUGUGCAAACUUACUGCAUAGACUUCUUUUAGGGUGAGCCUGUACAGAUUAUUAUCCAUGUCUUUUUUAUGAUCAAAUUAUUGAUAUAUUACAAUGAGCCUUUAUGUUUGGCACCCACCGUUCCAUGGCCCAAUGGUGCAAGACUGUAAGUCGAUAUUAUCUCUGUGGUUAGUUUUGUUGGGACCAAGCCUAGUAGUUAAUGCACUUCAUCUUCUUAUGUUCUCCAUAGUAUUAUAUAGUCUUUGUCUCUAGGACACAUCUAAUGCUGUAGACAUCUAAUUUUUCCUAUUAAUUUGAAUGGCGCAUGUUUUAUCUGCAUUAAUGCAGUCUGUUCUAUAAUUUGUUACAACUAGUGCAUAGUCACGCACUUCGUGCAUUUAUUAUAUCUUGUUUUAUUGCACCAUAGGUUGUACUUUUGUAGAACAAAGUUAAUGUUCUCAAGUAUCACAGUUCUAGUAUGUAUCACUCACUUUGUACUGGAAAUGCAACAUCUUGCUUGUAGUGCGUUCCUAGCACACACUUUAUGUUCCUACAAUCACUAAUUAUACUCAAGCAUGGUGGGUUCCCAAUGUUGUUGUUGCACAUGAAAAGGAAGGGAUAGAUGCUAUUCAUCUAGCUUCUGGUCGUACGAUUUGCAAGGUGAUGGAGAUUUUAAUUGAUAAGUAUGCUGACAAAUCAAUAUGGAACGAUUGAUGUGCACAUCCAACCAAUGCAAGCAUCUAUCAGUUUUCCAGUUGUGUGCUACAUCUCCUGCAUGCUGAUUCUAAUAUCAUUCCAAUGCAGUUGGUUGGUCCAGGGUGACGUUUUCUGCAUCUUUUGUUUCCUCAAUUCUUAAUGUUUGGCAGGGACUUGGAUUUCCAUGUGUGGGAUAGAGGCUUCUAUUAUCUUGAUGAUUUUUUUUCGUAAGAAUUUUAUCAAUUAUUAAAUGUUACACUGUAGGCCUGUCUGAUGGUUAGAGAGUGGUCUUGAAGAUAUUUUUAGCUUUCUAGACGGUCCCCAUAGUUUAUUAGUAAUGCUACUGGUGGUUGUUAGGAUCAGCUCAUGAUCUUGUUAUGUGUAGAUAUUCAUCCGUAUAUAUGGGACUGAGGGAUGUGAUCUGACCUUUUAAUUAGGAUUCUUUUUAAUUAGCAAGCCUGACGGUCUCCAUUCCUAGGUUAGUGUUAUCUGUUUUUUGUUGGUGAGUUGUGCCCUGCUGAUUUCUCUUUUAUUUAGUACAGUAGUAAAACUGUAAUAAACUUCAUGUAUGAUUCUGUCUAAUGGUCGUUCCGCUUCCGCA